GGGGCCGAUUAGGAUUCGACGCCGGUAGCGAAACUCUAGGUGCAUGCCGAGUUGGUAACAGAACUCGUAAAUCCACUGUUGCAACUUUCUAUAGUUGCCAAUGACAGCCAAUACGAGGACUACGCUAUCGCUGCGUAAGCAGCCUAGCCCGUUCUCCUGGUAGCUUCGGCUCCAGCAAUCAUCAGGGGAUGCCUGUAAACCCGAAAUGAUUGUCAUACAGAACAGGAUCGUCGUGCAGCACGUUGGGGGCGAAGCGACUAAAACUUACCCAACUCAUCCAAAGCACCCUGCCCGUCGGGCGGCUGCGGAUUAAAUCAGUAGACACGGCUAAGCAUGUAGUACCGACAGCGGAGUACUGGCGGACGGGGGUUCAAAUCCCCCCGGCUCCACCA
rnacentral:tmRNA from 4 species